UUCUUUCAUAAUCUAUUUUCCCUUUCCUAAUUAAGCCCUUUGAAUUUCUCCCAGUUCCCUGGUAGGCUGCUAUUUCUGGCCAAUUUGUAUGCUUCAUCUUUUGUUUUGAUACUAUCCCUGAUUUCCCUUGUUAUCUACGGAUGCACUACCUUCCCUGAUUUAUUCUUUUGCCAA